ensembl:lncRNA
AUGUGUCCGUGUGCUCAGUGUCCUGGGACGUGCCUGCACAUCCUCUCUACACACCGCUUUGUCCUCUGCAGACAAAAUAUUCAUGACACACCUCUUCCUUUCCCAAGCGCUGUUUCACACACCCACAUUCAAGGGAGCAAGACUUCCUGUUUGAAGGCGAUGCAGAGACUAAAAAUGAAGAGCACAAUAAAUGCUUAUCAGAUACCUUGGAUAAGCUUCUAUGCGAAUCAGAUGAGAAACUUCAGCUUCAUCUGAAGGAGAGAAUGGCAGCUUUGGAGGGCCCAGCUGAUUCUAAACCUGGAGACCCUGAGAGCCGAACUGGACCAGACGAGGCUACGAGGGGCUCCCUUCCACCAUGGGUAGGCCGCUCCCCCAAGCAGCUCCCCUCAGCGCUGUCGAGUGUGACAAGGGCCUCUCUGGUGUGUGGACAGUAUGACUGGGUGUUGCUCAUGGUCGCACCUCAAGGAGCCUGUAGCUUCGUGGCCAGCGAGAGAGAAGAGACAAACAUUGUUCCUUAGGGUCAAACUUGGUACCACGGAGUGGUAGUCACAGGAUUGACAACACUCAAAAACACAGGCAGAGGUUUGGAACUGGGUGAGGGGCGACCAGUUGAUAUUUGGGUGUAUUUAUUUGAGGGGCCUGACAGACUGUGACACUGCCAUUUCUUAAGAGUUGCAGAAGGUUAAUAACCUGUAGUCUUUUUUACAUGAAUGGAGACUGAGACAUGACUUGUCAUUGACUAUGGUGGGAGGAAUCACCUGGCUUGUGAAUGAGGCAAGCAGAUCAAAGUGUAACACAACUGGGCACAGAUUUCUCAAGCCUAGUUCUUCUAAAGCAGAGUUACACCACAUGUAUGAAACGCUCAAACCAGGACCAGAACUUGCUGCUGGUACAACUCCUGUGUGCCAGUUCAAAAUCCAUUUCAGGUCCCUCCCUGGUCAUUAAGUAACCAAUGUGGGCAAAGUCCUAACAUUAAAAGUGAAAGGUCUUAAAAACGCUUUUUCCAGAAUUCUGUAUGUAUUAAACUCUGCCACCUAAUCUCCUGUUGCCAAAGAGUAGUGUGAAUAGCUUAUACAAACCUGUGCAAAUAUUUCUUUUUUGAGUUCUCAUGCAGAAUUACUCACACCAAGCUACUAAACAAGGACACUUGCUGUACCACAUGUUGGAGGGGUUCUCUCUGAGAUGGUCUCAAGGGGGAGGGGUGGGCAGGGUGGGCGCUGUCUGUCUGUGCACAGAGGAGAGGUGAGGCUCACAGGAGGAGGCCUGAACCCCCAGCACUCUUCUGUUUUCACGGUGACCGUUAGGUAGUUUCUUAUAAAUCAUGACACCCGCAGACACGACCGCCAGAAACAUCAUGAUUCCACAUGGUUACACAACUCGGGCCUGAGGAUCUGAGGGUUAGCAAAUGCCACUUGACUUGUCUGACCGCCGGUAUCACUGUCACACAUCCCUUCAAGGAGCGGAACCUCAGAAAACCAGAGAAGAUGGCCAGGCAAACUGCCUCAGCAGAGUCCACACAGCAUGCUCCCAUCUCUCCGAGAGAACGGGCUCCACAGACGUCACCAGACUCGCCUGAGUGAAUCAGAAGGAAAUUUCAGCAUCAUCAGGAACACAUUUGACAGGGAGUUGCGGGGGGUGGGGGUGGGGGUGGGGAGGAAGAACCGGGAGACUCGGGUUGACAUAUAUACAGCACUGAUACUACACAUAAAGUCAACGAGUGAGGACCUAGUGCAUAGCACAGGGAAGUCUACUCAGUGCUCUGUGGUGAAGUAAAUGGGCAGGAAAUCUAAAAGAGAGGGAGAUACGUAGAUAGAUAGAUAGAUGACUGAUUCACUUUGCUGUACAGCAGAAAUUGACACAGCAGUGUAAAGCAACUAUACGCCAAAAAAUGGAUGAAUGAAUUUUUAAAAAAGGAACACACUGGGCACCCUAGAACUUGUAGAAAUGAGGAGUCCACACCCAGGGUGCAACACAGCGCUAGGGCUGCCCUAAUGUUGGUUCACUGCCAACGGA